AUUGAACGCUGGCGGCAUGCCUUACACAUGCAAGUCGAACGGUAACAGGUUAAGCUGUCGCGUGUCGAACGGGCGAGUGAUGUAUCGGUACGUGCUAAGUCGUGGGGGAUAACUGCUCGGAAGAGCAGCUAAUACCGCAUACGACCUGAGGGUGUAAGCGGGGGAUCGCAAGACCUCGCGCCAUUGGAGCUGCCGAUAUCAGAUUAGGUAGUUGGUGAGGUACAGGCUCACUAAGUCGACGAUCUGUAGCUGGUCUGAGAGGACGACCAGCCACACUGGGACUGAGACACGGCCCAGACUCCUACGGGAGGCAGCAGUGGGGAAUUUUGGACAAUGGGCGCAAGCCUGAUCCAGCCAUGCCGCGUGCGUGAAGAAGGCCUUCGGGUUGUAAACCGCUUUUGUCAGGGAAGAAAAGGUUCUGGCUAAUACCUGGGAGUCAUGACGGUACCUGAAGAAUAAGCACCGGCUAACUACGUG
rnacentral:rRNA from 1 species